CAGAGUAGGGAACAAAGCGUUAAGUGUCGGGAGGAUGGGAUGUUGCCCCCGGACGAAAAGGAAGUUCUAUGGACUUGCUUGCGGUUUUGGUCUCGCAUUCGCUGC
rnacentral:ncRNA from 1 species